rnacentral:rRNA from 1 species
GUGGCGCACGGGUGAGUAACGCGUGGGUAACCUGCCCUUGAAUUGGGGAUAACUCCGCGAAAGCGGGGCUAAUACCGAAUCAUAUUCCCCAAGGCAAAGGUGCAUUUAAGGAUGGGCCCGCGUACCAUUAGCUAGUUGGUAGGGUAAUGGCCUACCAAGGCAACGAUGGUUAGCUGGUCUAAGAGGAUGGCCAGCCACACUGGAACUGAGACACGGUCCAGACUCCUACGGGAGGCAGCAGUGGGGAAUCUUGCGCAAUGGGGGAAACCCUGACGCAGCAACGCCGCGUGGGUGAUGAAGGCCUUCGGGUCGUAAAGCCCUGUCAGGUGGGAAGAAUGACGGUACUACCGGAGGAAGCACCGGCUAACUCCGUGCCAGCAGCCGCGGUAAUACGGAGGGUGCAAGCGUUGUUCGGAAUUAUUGGGCGUAAAGCGCGUGUAGGCGGUCGAGUAAGUCAGAUGUGAAAGCCUUCCGCUUAACGGAAGAAGUGCAUUUGAAAC